GGAGGAGUGAAGGGGGGGGACUUGGCAGAUUUUUUGUGCUGCCACAGUCUUACAGUACGUAAACCUUCUGUGUGUGCAGCAUUGCACCCACUCACUAAUGUGUUCUUCUGGAGCAGUGGCACAAUGGCUUCAGGAAAAUAUCACCAGCCUGGCACAUAUAAUGGAUGUAAAGCCAAUCAGCUAGUGUCACAGGAAUACACUCAGGAACUGCAUGUUAAAAUGUGUAAGAAGAUCGCACAACUCACCAAGGUAAGAAAAGAUAAUGUUUAAUGUGUCUGUGUAUCUGGCAUGAUUCAGUUUGCAGGUCGUACGAGCUGUGAAUCUGUUUUAUCUUCUAAUCCCUAUGCAAACCCUAGGAAUCCUUGAACAAUCUAUCGUUUAAUGCUGUUUGAAAGACGAUUGAAUAAUAUUCACUAUACUCGUUUUUGUUUGCAUUUCGUUAACGAUUUUACAGUUGAAAACAUAAUAUCCUGCUCAAAUUUUAUAUACAUCAUGUCUUGCUUUAUUAUCUUUUGUAAAUCAGUAAUUUUGUGUUUUCAGAUCCGAGAAUUAGUUAGCUGUUUUAGCAACAAAGGUUUCAUUUAUGUGAUGGUGCAGUGAGAAUGGUACUUUGUAUGGCAUGUUUAAAGUGCUUUUUCUUUCCAAUGUGUCUUUCUUUUCUCCUGAGCUCCUUCAAUCAUAACAUCCUUCCUUCCGUCUCAUGUGUCACCUUGUUUUUUAAUUACUUAUCACUGUAUCAUCUUUCUUAUUUCGGCUUAUCCUAUAUAAUUUUACCUCUUCCACAUAUCAUAUCUAAUAUUGUCACAUAUUUUCACCUCUUCCUUCCUCUCUCAGAUAAUGUUAUCUCCCCAUAACACUAUCUCCCACACUGUGAGAAAUUCCUAUGCUGAUCAAAUCAGCAUCUCCUCUUUAUUUUAUUUCAUUUUGUUGUCCCUUCACGUCUAUAGCGCAACUACUUUUAGCUGAAAUAAUAUAUUGCACUGUAGAGAGCCUGAAAGGAAUUCUUUUUGAUAACUUGUAGCUGUCCUCUGUUUUGAAGAUGAGGAAAGCCAUGCAAUGUCUGGCACUCUACGAUAACUAUGCACUUGUUAUGGUUAGUCACUGUAAAUCAGGAGUGGUUAAAUCAGAUUGUGUAGGAUUAACUGAAAUAAAAUGCUCUAGAUUACUUCCAACAGUUCAUUUUGCGUUAUAAUACAUUUCUGACCUCUGUUUGUUCACUGGACUAGUUAUUUAGAACUCUGACCAUAAACUUUUGCCUCCAGCCCCUGACUCUGUAUCGUAAUGACCUUGUUUUGCUUUUAUUCUUUGACACAACAGUCUUGGCCACCUUACUGUGACCAUUUGGGCCUGUAUUGACUGUAUUGACUAUGUAUGUUGUUCAACUAUCUUGACCUCAUAACAUUAUUCAAGUUACCCAGCUCCCAACUGAUAUUACAUGCCUUAAAAUGUACUUUAUGUGUGAGGCCUGAACAGUAUAGUAAACAUGUUAGAGUGAUGGAGAUCAGGACCCUAAUGCAUAUUUAAUGUUACCUACUAGGGACAUUGUUAGGGUAAAAAAAAACAAAAAUAAUUUAGUAACCCCUUCCCAAAGCCCUACCCUGCCAAUCCCCAACUCCACCCAUUAUCAAAUCUCUUCACACACUCACAGUUAUUCUACACCCACACACAGAUACACAGAUAUACACAAGCACACACACAGGAACUGACUCAUACACAGGAGCAGAUCGGCACAAAGACAGACCAACUAUUUUAGUUUGAAUUGACAUUCUCUAAGCUUUUGUCCAUUCUUUGAGUUAUCAUAUUCUUUGGUGGGGGGGAGGAUAGGGGGGAGAUUCUGCUUCAAUGCAUAUGUUCAGGGUCUAGAGGGAUUUCAGCUACACCUCGCUGACAUGACCCGAAGAAGGCCGAAACGAUCAUCUGGGAUUGCUGUAUCUCUCGUGCAGAAGGAACUUGCUGGCAAUUCAAUUCUGUACUGCCCUUAGGGGUGGGAUCAGCCUGAUAUGCAAAUGGUAUAGGUUCACUCAAUAUUGGCACAAGUGAGCAAAAACUAGUUACAAACCUGAGUGGGGACUUCCCAGAGAGCAAGCUACUGGAUUUCUCUAAAUUAUCAUAAUCUCUGUUUUUGAUAUUGAUUUGCCACUUUCUUGGGUCCUGCUGGUGCUCUACCUGCAUCUGAUCUUUUGCUAGGUGGCUCCUGACUCUACAGGCUGGUGCUGGCUAGACCCUGGUCUAGGUAGG
rnacentral:lncRNA from 1 species